rnacentral:rRNA from 1 species
UACAGGGGUCUCGAGCGUUAGGCGGAAUCACUGGGCUUAAAGCGUGUGUAGGCGGAUCGUUAAGUGCCUUGUGAAAUCCCACGGCUUAACCGUGGAACUGCUUGGCAUACUGGCGAUCUUGAGCAACCUAGGGGCGAGCGGAACAAAUGGUGGAGCGGUGAAAUGCGCAGAUAUCAGGAGGAACACCGGUGGCGAAGGCGGGUCUCUGGGCCGUAACUGACGCUGAGGAGCGAAAGCGUGGGGAGCGAACAGG